AAUGAAGGGGAAGAUCAUGGAAAACCUUAGAGGAAGGUACACUAAUAAAAAGGAUCACGAGAGAGAAGGAAGACACGCGCUAAACCCUAGAUAUUACACUCAAUACACUUGACUUAAAUGUCGAUGUCGAUCUCAUUCUCUAUUUGUAAUUCAUUUUAGAUCUUGUUCAUUUUUCAGUCAUCCCUUGUAAACUUUCAUUGCAUUUUGAUCAAUAUCC
rnacentral:lncRNA from 1 species